UCCUCCUCCUCCUCCUCCUCCUCCUCUUCCUCCUCUCCCUCCCCUUCCACUUCUUCCUCUUCUUCUCUACCCUCUUCCUUUACCCUACUCUCUGCCUUCUCGACGUUAUGUCCGAGAAAGUUCUCAAUGCAGCCCCAGGCUUGGAGUGGCCAGAGGAGUUUGCCCAAACCUGGAUUCUGCUGCAAGGGAUGUUUUUGACUUGAUUAAACAUUGACACAUAAGUAAGAACGGGCCGUUGGACAGCUUAAGCCAGGAAGGAGGCAGACUGCCCACCCCUGCUUGGACAUUUGGAAAGACCACAUUUGAGAUUUGAGGAGUGAGUGGGGCGGGGCAAGAAGGUGUUCACUGAAUCAGAACGCAGUGGAGAAAGGCAUGCCAGGCAACUACUGGUGGCACGGUAACCUGGAAAGGGCACUGAGGGUUAACGAUGGAGGGAACUAGAACCCACCGCCUUUAUUCUCAGCUUUUGAGUGUUUACUUGGAUUAAUGUCAUGCUCCUGUGACUGGAGUUAGGGGCAAAGGGUAUGUGAUCAUCUCUGUAUACAUAUAUGCGUACACAUGUUUAGCCAUUCUAGUGUAAGACACACAUACACACACACACCUGAUUCAGACUCCCAAAUUGGGAGAUUCCUGGAUAUGAUGCCAUGUAGAACUGUUCAUUUAACCCUUUGUAGUCUGUGAUCUUUGUCUUUCAAGGUUUUUAGAAAUACAACCAAGAUAUCUACUACAGAGCAACAAGUAGUUCUUACAUGUUUUAAUCUAAUCAUGAAAUCUAAUUCUUUUUACUUAAUAUUUUAGACAGUUUAUCGGUUGAGCCAGGCACUACAAUAGGAAAUACUCCUCUGAUGUUGACAAACCUGGCCCAUUCAAUGCUAGUUAUUUGGUGAAAGACUUUAGGGGCGUAGUGGAUAAUUCAAAGAACCUAUUCCUUUUUAGUAAUUAUAGUCACACCAUUCAAAUAUGUAUCUGGACCUGUAGUUAUUGCUUUUAUUGUUUGUUUGCUUUCCCACCUAUAAUAAUUUCUCUAUGUUUCUCGACUCUCUCCCCCUCCUAACUGCCAUCAUGCCGUCUCCCAUACCCCCAUCAAACUGAAAUUCACAGAACACCAUUCUGCCUUGCCAAGAUCAGUAUUUUGUAGGAGGCCAGAGUUAUAAUUGCCCGUAUUCCACUGCAACGUCAGAAUCUAGUGUUGAUGUUUCCAAGGAGACUUGGGUCUCUUUCUGGGCUGCUGGUCUCCUGGACAACGCUGAGACCCAACAAGCACCACAGACACAGGAAGCAUCCUGUGACUUAAAUGUCCCUGUUCUGGACUCAUGUUCAUGGGAAGAGGCUCAGCUCUCCUCCCAGCUCUACAGAAAUAAGCAGGUAUGGAUAGGUAGCAAGAACAUUGAGACUAACUAGCCUAGUUUCAUAAAACCCACUCUCCCCUGAGUCUCCCUUUACUUCAUAUUGCUUUUUAGUUUUAAAUAUGUUUCUUUUUUAUAAAUUCACACUAGCUCAGUGCUUGUUGUGACUCCAAAGAGAUAAAUGUCAAAUGAACAGGCUCACAGAAACAGAGGCUCUGAGAAAACUUAGGGGUGACUUCUCAAUUAACCAAAUUCUUUUUCCUUGUCUGUGGAAUAUUUCUGCAGCCCUUCUCUGAGGGCUGCUGCAGAGACCAAGGGAUGAAUACAGCAGUGUUUUAAACGAUAAACGCAGCUCAUCUUUGAGAGGAGGGAUGAUGAUAAAGGUUUCCCAAAGAUCACUUCGUCCUCCGGGUCUCCUUUGUGGCUGUUCCCAACUAGCAGUUUUAUUUAUUGGACACACAGUCUGACCUACCUUGAGGCUGGGAACAGCCAGGUCAUAUCUCCUGCUUUUAUUUUCAUAAAUGUGCAAGGAAGGAGUCCAGCCAAGCCUUCUACCAUCUUUCCUAUAUUUAAACAGUUCCGUGCGGCUCACUUUCCUCCCUCCCCACCUGACUCCCUGUGGUUACAAUUUUGAAAGUCAUCUGAUCUCUUCAAACACUUCGUAAUGAAUGGGCUAUGCAGGGCGCAAAUUGAACAGUCAGGUGGUAGGGAGUGUAGAUGUGAUUUAAGACUCAGAGAACCAGGGCUCUUUGAAAGUAUGUUCAGAAAACAAACAAGAAUAAUCAAGUUUAAGAAGGUUGGGGAGCAGUGCGUUGUUAUUGGGUUACAAAGCCAAUAGAGGGGAGCACCCUUCACUAUUGUACGCUUCUUGCAGCUCCAGGACACUCUAGUCCAGAAGGAGGAAGAACUUGCUAGGCUACAUGAA